GUUCACAUGAUCCAGAAUCAGCUGAUGAUUAGAAUGACUAGACAAUGUAUAACGGUAGACAACUGCCAUAGUUAAGUAAGUGUGCACAAGGGUAGCAGAGUGAUGUUGCGAGGAGUAAUGAAUCAAAGGUCCAGUCUAAGUCAUCUCCGUGUACACUAUUAAUAUUUCAAAAACAGAUCGAUUAAAAAUGCAAAACUCAGUUAUGACACAUUAUUGUUGAUGAUUAUAUUACAGAAAUAUUUUAUUGAUAGUGAACCUCACGUUUUCUCAUGUUAAUUGUUAAGAUCUAUAGAAUAUAACAACACAAUUUCACUUUUUAAUCACAUCUUUUAUAAUGGCAAAAACAGACAUACUUCAGUUUUGAAUUUUAUUGUAUACUGUGUGGUUUAUGUAAAAAAGCUAUAAUAAUUGUGUAGCAGGCAUGUUAUGGCACAGAUCAAGAUUAUUUUAUUAAUUUUGCUACAGUGCUUUCCUCAGAUCAAUUUUAUUAAAAUUGCAUGAUGUUCCAGUAGAUUCAAAACUUCGGAAGAAUCAUACUUUACCUGUAUAAUGCAUAGUGCAUUAGGCUGGCUUGCUCAUUUGUAAUGUUUGUAGCAGGCAGGGUGCUUUAUUCAUUAGUUUUCUUGAAGAAAUGUUUACAACAUAUACAGUAUUUGGCAUUAGUUAUACCAAGGUUUAAUGACAGUAGACUCUGCAGUCUGAAUAGGGCAAGGUCUAAAAGCAUGUGAUUGCCAUUGGCUUCAUGUGACCUACUAGUUAUAGUGACUAGUGAAGCUAAACAUACAGUAUCUCCAAGUUAUAAAUUAAAAUCAGAGUAGUGGAAGAA